CUUUUUCUGGAGGUUCCUCCUGGUGGAGUUUUCUACUGUGAGCCUAGGAUGUGGGCUUAUCUUCAUGAUGCUUUAAAAUGUUUCUUUCUGUCUACUGAUGGAAGGGUUCUGGGCAAAAUGGUUUCAUGUCCAAUUUAUUGUAAAAUAAAACAUAUGGGAAAAGGAUUAUGCCUGUCACACGCUGCCAAGCUGAUUUUAUACAGCAACAGCUCUACAGGGAAAGUUUCACUUCCAGUUCUCCCGGGAAGCCAAUCUGAGACCGAGAGCCAGAAAGCCUGGGUUGCACUCCCCACAUCUGCAAGGCAUUUAACCUCCGGUUCCUCUUCUUCAUCUUCCAUGCAGCAACCUUCUAGGGCAGGAGGUAUGGAGAGAAGUGCUUUCUUUCAUGGAGCCCUGCACAAGAGUUGUUCCAACUUAAGUGGGAGAGCUUGACUUCAAGAAAAUGAUGUCAUAUCUUGUCCAUUUAAUUUGCACCUUGAUUUGCACAGGUUGUAUUAAUUUCCCCAGCUCUCCCCUGGCUAAUUUCUUUUUUUCCACAGUGGCAUAAUACACUGGCAACAUAAUUUCUCAAAUCCACUGUUACCUUGAAAACCUGGAUAUUUCCAUUCAGUUCUAGGGGAUCCUCGCAGAAGACCUACUGAGACCAUUUUAAGUGACAUUACUUCCUAGUAAAUUCAAUUAUUUAAACUUUAAAAGUAAAUGGAAGAUUAAUAUUGCAUGUUGUCCUUUCACUUGAAAUCGUUACUGUCUUAUGUUUUAUGAACUGAGAGUGCUACAGAAGCAGCUGAUUUCUGUCUCCAUGGGGAAGAGCCAUGCUUAUAAUUGACAGUGUUAUACAUGGGAUCAGGUUGCUGGUACAAUUCUUGUCAUUUUAAUUUGAUCUGCCAUGAUAGGGCUCAUAGCCUGAUUGGCAUUUCUGAAUACUUCUGUAAUAUGAAUAAUAAUUAUAAAAACUCAGACAAAGAAUCAUAUUCCAGUAUCUUUUUUGAAAGAGUUAUCUCUGGUUCUGUCAGUUCAUUUGGAGGAAUUUCUUAGAAAAGUAAACACCAAAGAGAUGUGAACAUAGUAAAAAAUAAAUACAUGUAUAAUCGUGUAAGUAUUCAGAUGGAUAUUUGUAGGAAGCACGUUACAAUUUCAUUCAGCUUUACAAACAGGAUUACAUGAGUAAUCUUCAAGUAAUAUAAGGAUAAAUCAUUCUGGAAGAAGCCCCCGAUGUUUUAGGUAUCAGCAAGCUUUCACUUGCUAGCAGGCACACAUGUGCUUCUGGCCCACCUCUUUUGCAGCAGACAGAAUAGGAGGAAAAUCCCAAUCUUUCUUUAGGCCCAAAUUUGCUAUAAUCCUGAUGAAUAUGCAUUUUAGAUGUAAUUCCAGAAUGUGCUCAGAU